CAGUUCCUCCUUCACAUGCUUCAUCUCACCUGCCACCAUGUAAGACAUGUCUGGUUCCCCUUCUGCCAUGAUUCUGUUUUGUGAGCAGUUUUAUGAACCCAAAAUGGAGUCCAGAGCUGGGCUUAGACAGAUUGGAGCAUAAGGCCACAGCUGCUGUGACGACAUCAAUUAUGAAUACACAACAAUGUACCUGAGGAAAACAGAAAGUGAAUAACAUACAAGGCAUGAUGGUUACUGUAACUUUCAUGGGAAUGCAAUUCUUGGCUUAUGUAUUAGCUAUCAAAGCUCUGAAACCCAAACGAAAUUGAAUGGGUAGGAUUAUCAGACAAAACAUCAGACAUCCAGUUAUAUUUUAAUUUGACAUGAACAAUGAAUACUUUUUAGUAUAACCAUCUAUCAAAUAUUGCAUGGCACUAGCCCUGUGAAUGUCCACUCUUGCUAUUUUGGUUGGGGUACAUUUAGACUAAAAAAGUUUUUGUUUUCUAUUUGCAAUUAAAACUUAACCAGCCAUACUGACUUUUUAUUUACUAAAUCUGUCAGCCUUAGAAAUGGGGGCUGGGCUAAAAGCAAAUUUGUAUGGAAAUGUACAGUCAAACAGCUCAGUUGAUGAAUUUGAAGCUAGGUUUCUGGUGGAAAUCCAAGAAUCACUACAAUUUACAUUUUCAAGGCUACAUCAAGGCAAUACCAUAUAGAGCAAUGCUUUAGAACAUCUUUCAGUGGAUUCAAACAGAUUUGAGUCCUGGCUUCUCUAACUUAUAUCCUACUGAUGUGACU